rnacentral:rRNA from 1 species
AUUGAACGCUGGCGGCAUGCUUUACACAUGCAAGUCGAACGGUAACAGGCCUUCGGGUGCUGACGAGUGGCGAACGGGUGAGUAAUGCAUCGGAACGUGCCCAAUCGUGGGGGAUAACGUAGCGAAAGUUACGCUAAUACCGCAUAAGCCCUGAGGGGGAAAGUGGGGGACCGCAAGGCCUCACGCGAAUGGAGCGGCCGAUGUCAGAUUAGCUAGUUGGUGGGGUAAAGGCUCACCAAGGCGACGAUCUGUAGCGGGUCUGAGAGGAUGAUCCGCCACACUGGGACUGAGACACGGCCCAGACUCCUACGGGAGGCAGCAGUGGGGAAUUUUGGACAAUGGGCGCAAGCCUGAUCCAGCCAUGCCGCGUGAGUGAAGAAGGCCUCGG